GUUCAAACUCUCUCUCUCUCAAAUUUCAAAGUUCAAACUCUCUCAACCUCCACCUCUAGCAUACUCAACUCAAACCCAUCAGCAAAAACAAAGAAAAAACCUUAGCUCACCAGAGAUCCCGACACCCAUACACGCAUCCUUUUUUAACCCAGAUCAGAGAGAGAGUAAGGGUUGGGGUUUGGAGAGAAUUGGGUGUAGAGAGAGACAUUGAUGCUUUUCAGACCCAAAUCAGAGAAGGUUAGGGUUUGGGUUUGGAGAAAAUCGGGAAAGAGAGAAGUUGAUGAUCUUUCAGGUUUGAUCUAUGGAGGGAAAGAGAUUUUGGUCGAAGGAGAGAAAAAGCCACCAUCGGAGGUGGUGGUUGCGGUGAGCCAGCCUUGCCGAUUUGGUUCAGACCCAAAUCAGAGAAGGUUAGGGUUUGGGUUUGGGGAAAAUUGGGAAAGAGAGAAGUUGAUGCUCAAUCUCCAUGGCUAUCGCUAGCAGCCACCGUGUUCCGCUCCACCAAUUCCGGCGUGGUUCCAAUUGUUCUUGGCUGAGCUUCAUCUUGCAACCACCCUACUGCAGGCAGCGGUGCAUAUAGACGGUGUUUACACCAUUGGUGGCCGCUGGGCUUCGAGUAACAAUUGAUUGCAAGCCAAAAAAUGGACACUUAAAGACAAGAGGGGUAGGGAAACUCGAUGAAGAAGGAAAGUUCAAA